rnacentral:rRNA from 1 species
AGCGAACGCUGGCGGCAGGCCUAACACAUGCCAGUCGAACGAACCUUUCGGGGUUAGUGGCGGACGGGUGAGUAACACGUGGGAACGUGCCUUUAGGUUCGGAAUAACUCAGGGAAACUUGUGCUAAUACCGAAUGUGCCCUUCGGGGGAAAGAUUUAUCGCCUUUAGAGCGGCCCGCGUCUGAUUAGCUGGUUGGUUGAGGUAAUGGCUCACCAAGGCGACGAUCAGUAGCUGGUCUGAGAGGAUGAUCAGCCACAUUGGGACUGAGACACGGCCCAAACUCCUACGGGAGGCAGCAGUGGGGAAUCUUGCGCAAUGGGCGAAAGCCUGACGCAGCCAUGCCGCGUGAAUGAUGAAGGUCUUAGGAUUGUAAAAUUCUUUCACCGGGGACGAUAAUGACGGUACCCGGAGAAGAAGCCCCGGCUAACUUCGUG